rnacentral:rRNA from 1 species
CAGCAGCCACGGUAAUACGUAUGUCGCGAGCGUUAUCCGGAAUUAUUGGGCAUAAAGGGCAUCUAGGCGGCCGGAUAAGUCUGGGGUGAAAACUUGCGGCUCAACCGCAAGCCUGCCCUGGAAACUAUGCGGCUAGAGUACUGGAGAGGUGGACGGAACUGCACGAGUAGAGGUGAAAUUCGUAGAUAUGUGCAGGAAUGCCGAUGAUGAAGAUAGUUCACUGGACGGUAACUGACGCUGAAGUGCGAAAGCUAGGGGAGCAAACAGGAUUAGAUACCCCCGUAGUCCCUGUCUCUUAUAC